GGUACAGCUGCAGUCCCAGGUGAUAUGGGGACAUUCCACGCAGAAACCCAGGAAAAGGAACCAGCCAAAUAUGUUUGUGUGCAAACUACAGAAAACUCUACUGCACAAGAAAAGCCACAACUGCAAGCUGAUGUUCCUGCAGAGCCCACACCAGACCUCAAUCACGCACAACAAGAACAGCAAACUCAACCUG